CGUUUACAGUUCACACUUCAGAAGCCCUAACAUCAAGGAAGUAUUGUUCUGAUCGUAUUUGCAACCACUAGUGUCUUGCUCGCGCAAGGACAAGGUAUGUGUUGUUUUGCCUUGACAUAUACCAGUGGCAAAGCUAGCCAUAGCAACUGCUCAUGCUACGCUAAUAAACCUACGUCUAAAUAUAGGUUAAAGACAAUCUAGCUUUGCCAUUGACUUAUAUUUCAUGUUGUUUGAUGUUGUCUAAGUCCAUGUUUAUACAGCCCUCAGUCUGACCUUCAUUUUUACCCAGCUGAAAAUCGUUUAUCUUGAACUAAUAUUUACAUCAAGGUCAAGCAGGGGAUGACAAUCAGUGAAUCAUUCAGAU